rnacentral:rRNA from 2 species
AUUAGCCAUGCAUGUCUAAGUAUAAGCAAUUAUACAGCGAAACUGCGAAUGGCUCAUUAAAUCAGUUAUCGUUUAUUUGAUAGUACCUUACUACAUGGAUAACCGUGGUAAUUCUAGAGCUAAUACAUGCUGAAAACCCCGACUUCGGAAGGGGUGUAUUUAUUAGAUUAAAAACCAAUGCCCUUCGGGGCUCACUGGUGAUUCAUGAUAACUUCUCGAAUCGCACGGCCUUGCGCCGGCGAUGGUUCAUUCAAAUUUCUGCCCUAUCAACUUUCGACGGCUGGGUCUUGGCCAGCCGUGGUGACAACGGGUAACGGAGGGUUAGGGCUCGACCCCGGAGAAAACGCCUGAGAAACGGCGUUUACAUCCAAGGAAGGCAGCAGGCGCGCAAAUUACCCAAUGCCGACACGGCGAGGUAGUGACGAGAAAUACUGAUACAGGGCUCUUUUGGGUCUUGUAAUUGGAAUGAGUACAAUUUAAAUCUCUUAACGAGGAACAAUUGGAGGGCAAGUCUGGUGCCAGCAGCCGCGGUAAUUCCAGCUCCAAUAGCGUAUAUUAAAGUUGUUGCAGUUAAAAA